CUAAGAGAAAGGGUAAUUUGAAGGUUGUUCAACCUUCUAACAUAUACAAAUAAUACUUGUAUAAUAGUCUUGAAGUACACAAGACAAAUUGAUACUUCCUUCUGUUCUUUCCUGAAACUCUUUUUUUAUAAAGCAACUGAGGGGAUAUAGCUCAGCUGGCUAGAGCGGCGGCUUUGCAAGCCGUAGGUCAGGGGUUCGAAUCCCCUUAUCUCCAUAAAUACCUUGUUUAACGACAAGGUUUUUAUUCGCCCAAUCGCUAAGAAAAGGCGAACAGAUAUUUGACAUAACUAGGGAAGGGAAUGAAGACGCUGGAAUGUUUGAAACAUAACAGUGUAAAAGAAAACUAAAAAUACAAAACUUCUUUUUUAAGCGAAAAGAGUAAAGAAAGAAGGGACAAUAAUAU
rnacentral:tRNA from 1 species